AAAAAAAACUAACAGUACACUUACCAUGAUCACGAAGGUGGUUUUCCCAGGGCGAGGCUUAUCCAUUGCACUCUGGAUGUGCUGACUUGACCCCAGCGAUUUCCCCAAAUGUGGGAAACUCGACUGCAUAAUUUGUGGUAGUGGGGGACUGCGUUAGCAAUGUCCCCUG